rnacentral:rRNA from 1 species
UUUAAUGAGAGUUUGAUCCUGGCUCAGGACGAACGCUGGCGGCGUGCCUAAUACAUGCAAGUAGAACGCUGAGGUUUGGUGUUUACACUAGACUGAUGAGUUGCGAACGGGUGAGUAACGCGUAGGUAACCUGCCUCAUAGCGGGGGAUAACUAUUGGAAACGAUAGCUAAUACCGCAUAAGAGUAAUUAACACAUGUUAGUUAUUUAAAAGGAGCAAUUGCUUCACUGUGAGAUGGACCUGCGUUGUAUUAGCUAGUUGGUGAGGUAAAGGCUCACCAAGGCGACGAUACAUAGCCGACCUGAGAGGGUGAUCGGCCACACUGGGACUGAGACACGGCCCAGACUCCUACGGGAGGCAGCAGUAGGGAAUCUUCGGCAAUGGACGGAAG